UCAAACCUCGAAAAAAGUUGAAACACGAAUAACUGAACACAAAAACGCCAUAAAACGAUACGAUUAUAAAUCACUACCUGCAGCACACACAUACGACAACUGCCAUACCUUCAACUGGACAGAAACGGAACUAUUAGGACGAGCACAAACAAAACACGCACGUGAAUUUAAAGAGGCAUGGUACAGUAUAGACGGUAAUACAAUUAACCGACACGUUGAAAUUCCCACUGUUUACUUACAACUUAAAACAACACGUAAAUGCCCUACUAAUAACAACGAUACUAUGACUAAUACUAACUUCCAAAUAACACUUCCUUCAACAUCCGCCACACAACAAUCCAAACAUUCCAAUGACGCCAUCCCUAGCAGAAGAAUUCACUCAACCAUGACAACGCAUUCUUCAACCAGCAAUGAGAUCAGAUCAACCGCGGAACAGCCAAUUAGACGGUCUCGACGUAUACAAGAACGUAGCAACACCGCAAAACUUUAAUUAAAUAAUGUACAUAUGUAAUGUUAAUCUCAGUAUUC